UGCUAAAAUUCAGAGCACUCUGGCCCAACUCUGAGAAAGCAGCUGUCAAAGGAAUUAAUCAAACAGAAAGGAAGCAAUUUGUACAAAAAUAUUUACAUCGGCUCUAUUUUACAAAGAGAAAAUAUGGAAAACAACUUAAGACCACAGAUUUGGAAAUCACUGCGGAAUACUGCGAAGGCAUUGCAAAAGAUGAGAAAGUUGAGAUCCUGGCUGGGAAUUUCAAACUCAGGCAUCUGGAGCUGUCCUAUGGAGCCACUAAAGAAAAGGCAAAAGAAAAAAAGAAAAGAAAAAUAAGAAAAAAUAAUUUGACAACUAUUUCUUUGCAUGGAUUUCCUUUGCAUUUAAUCCCAAAGGACACUACUUGUGCUAUAUUUUUCAUCUUAUUUUAUAAUAAAGCAAUUUUGAUCAUUUUGUACGCAAAUAUAUUUUGUUAGUGUUUUUAACCUUUUCA
rnacentral:lncRNA from 1 species